GAUGAAUCAAAGAAGGUAAUAAUCCUGUAGUCGAAAAUGUUGUCUCUCUUGAGUGGAUCCUGAGUACGACGGAGCACGUGAAAUUCCGUCGGAAUCUGGGAGGACCAUCUCCUAAGGCUAAAUACUCUCUAGUGACCGAUAGUGAACCAGUACCGUGAGGGAAAGGUGAAAAGCACCCCGGAAGGGGAGUGAAAUAGAACCUGAAACCGUGUGCUUACAAGUAGUCAGAGCCCGUUAAUGGGUGAUGGCGUGCCUUUUGUAGAAUGAACCGGCGAGUUACGAUUUGAUGCAAGGUUAAGCAGUAAAUGUGGAGCCGUAGCGAAAGCGAGUCUGAAUAGGGCGUUUAGUAUUUGGUCGUAGACCCGAAACCAGGUGAUCUACCCUUGGUCAGGUUGAAGUUCAGGUAACACUGAAUGGAGGACCGAACCGACUUACGUUGAAAAGUGAGCGGAUGAACUGAGGGUAGCGGAGAAAUUCCAAUCGAACCUGGAGAUAGCUGGUUCUCUCCGAAAUAGCUUUAGGGCUAGCCUCAAGUGAUGAUUAUUGGAGGUAGAGCACUGUUUGGACGAGGGGCCCCUCUCGGGUUACCGAAUUCAGACAAACUCCGAAUGCCAAUUAAUUUAACUUGGGAGUCAGAACAUGGGUGAUAAGGUCCGUGUUCGAAAGGGAAACAGCCCAGACCACCAGCUAAGGUCCCAAAAUAUAUGUUAAGUGGAAAAGGAUGUGGCGUUGCCCAGACAACUAGGAUGUUGGCUUAGAAGCAGCCAUCAUUUAAAGAGUGCGUAAUAGCUCACUAGUCGAGUGACACUGCGCCGAAAAUGUACCGGGGCUAAACAUAUUACCGAAGCUGUGGAUUGUCCUUUGGACAAUGGUAGGAGAGCGUUCUAAGGGCGUUGAAGCAUGAUCGUAAGGACAUGUGGAGCGCUUAGAAGUGAGAAUGCCGGUGUGAGUAGCGAAAGACGGGUGAGAAUCCCGUCCACCGAUUGACUAAGGUUUCCAGAGGAAGGCUCGUCCGCUCUGGGUUAGUCGGGUCCUAAGCUGAGGCCGACAGGCGUAGGCGAUGGAUAACAGGUUGAUAUUCCUGUACCACCUAUAAUCGUUUUAAUCGAUGGGGGGACGCAGUAGGAUAGGCGAAGCGUGCGAUUGGAUUGCACGUCUAAGCAGUAAGGCUGAGUAUUAGGCAAAUCCGGUACUCAUUAAGGCUGAGCUGUGAUGGGGAGAAGACAUUGUGUCUUCGAGUCGUUGAUUUCACACUGCCGAGAAAAGCCUCUAGAUAGAAAAUAGGUGCCCGUACCGCAAACCGACACAGGUAGUCAAGAUGAGAAUUCUAAGGUGAGCGAGCGAACUCUCGUUAAGGAACUCGGCAAAAUGACCCCGUAACUUCGGGAGAAGGGGUGCUCUUUAGGGUUAACGCCCAGAAGAGCCGCAGUGAAUAGGCCCAAGCGACUGUUUAUCAAAAACACAGGUCUCUGCUAAACCGUAAGGUGAUGUAUAGGGGCUGACGCCUGCCCGGUGCUGGAAGGUUAAGAAGAGUGGUUAGCUUCUGCGAAGCUACGAAUCGAAGCCCCAGUAAACGGCGGCCGUAACUAUAACGGUCCUAAGGUAGCGAAAUUCCUUGUCGGGUAAGUUCCGACCCGCACGAAAGGCGUAACGAUUUGGGCACUGUCUCAACGAGAGACUCGGUGAAAUCAUAGUACCUGUGAAGAUGCAGGUUACCCGCGACAGGACGGAAAGACCCCGUGGAGCUUUACUGUAGCCUGAUAUUGAAAUUCGGCACAGCUUGUACAGGAUAGGUAGGAGCCUUUGAAACGUGAGCGCUAGCUUACGUGGAGGCGCUGGUGGGAUACUACCCUAGCUGUGUUGGCUUUCUAACCCGCACCACUUAUCGUGGUGGGAGACAGUGUCAGGCGGGCAGUUUGACUGGGGCGGUCGCCUCCUAAAAGGUAACGGAGGCGCUCAAAGGUUCCCUCAGAAUGGUUGGAAAUCAUUCAUAGAGUGUAAAGGCAUAAGGGAGCUUGACUGCGAGACCUACAAGUCGAGCAGGGUCGAAAGACGGACUUAGUGAUCCGGUGGUUCCGCAUGGAAGGGCCAUCGCUCAACGGAUAAAAGCUACCCCGGGGAUAACAGGCUUAUCUCCCCCAAGAGUUCACAUCGACGGGGAGGUUUGGCACCUCGAUGUCGGCUCAUCGCAUCCUGGGGCUGUAGUCGGUCCCAAGGGUUGGGCUGUUCGCCCAUUAAAGCGGUACGCGAGCUGGGUUCAGAACGUCGUGAGACAGUUCGGUCCCUAUCCGUCGUGGGCGUAGGAAAUUUGAGAGGAGCUGUCCUUAGUACGAGAGGACCGGGAUGGACAUACCUCUGGUGUACCAGUUGUCGUGCCAACGGCAUAGCUGGGUAGCUAUGUGUGGACGGGAUAAGUGCUGAAAGCAUCUAAGCAUGAAGCCCCCCUCAAGAUGAGAUUUCCCAACUUCGGUUAUAAGAUCCCUCAAAGAUGAUGAGGUUAAUAGGUUCGAGGUGGAAGCAUGGUGACAUGUGGAGCUGACGAAUACUAAUCGAUCGAAGACUUAAUCAA
rnacentral:rRNA from 2 species